GGAAACCCCUCAUUAUGACUGGAGGACGUUUCUUGAUGUGGUUGGAAAACUCGACUGAACCAUAUCAGUGCCAUCUCAUACGUGGCGAUAGUAUUUUAGGCCCAAGCCAGACAUUCAGAAGAAAAGGUUGAAAACUGCAGGGUAUGUUCAUUUGGUAACUAUGGUAAACACGCUGAAAGCUCCAAACUUGGGUAAAAGCCACAUUAUUGGAAAAUGGCUGAUUGGUUUAUGUUUGCAUAAAAGCAUCAAGUAUAUCUCUGAAACUAACAAGCUGAAUUGUAUGUUCUUACAUUCAGAAUGGUCAUAAGUGCUCAGAGAACAAUUUUGGAUAGGAUUUUAAUUUUCAAGAUAUGGCAGCGGUGGGCUUUCUCUGUUUUUCAAAGCUCUCAACAUAAACACACCCUGCAGUUUCAAGCUUUUUCUUCUAAAUUUCUGAGGCAAACACUUAUUUCACUGAACUUGUAAGAUAACUAUACAAAGAAGCAGAGAUACUCACACAGUUUUUGUUCCUGUUACACUGCUUGGAUACUGUACGAAUUAGAUCUCAGUCUGCAAGACUUCGUAUCCAUUUGUUUUCAGUCCUCCUAAUAAGUUAUAUGUGGGUUGUAUCCAAUGUUACUCAGUUAGACCCAUUCAAAUUAAUGGACACGCCCAAUUUAGGUCCAUUCAUUUGAAUGGGUCUAACCAGGGCUAUUUUCUGGGGAGACGCAGGGAUACGCAUACCCCUAAACAUUUUAUGAAUCGUUGUACUUUUGUCCAUUUACUGUCUUUAUUUUUCCCAAAUUGAAAUAUAAAAUGGUGAUUUUCUUGAGUCAAAAUGAGAGUACCCCUAAACAUUUUUUAAGAAAAAAAGCACUGGGUCUAACUCUCAGUAAAACUUAGUUGUGUUCAACCUCAUGUUUUCCAACCAACUACUGUAUUUUUACGGAUCAGUUCACAAGCUUUUAGUUCUGAGCUGGUAUCUGACACAAAUUCACGAGGGAAACUGCCAUUUGCAAAUAGUUCAAUCUCUCUCUCUAUUUCAUUGUUAUGCAUCAUCCCAUUUAUUAAUUCCCAGUAGAAAGCGGGCUUUUAAUGGAAGAUUUCUGAAGCCAGUUUGAUGUGACGUAACCCAUGCUUUUUUCCUCCCCCAAAUUCCAUCUUAAAACAUGUUCCUUUUCAACUGCUCUGCCUCUGAUACUGAACUGGAUGCUAAGAAACUGUUCACAUAAUGAGAAGAAGAAGGAAAUCCAUUAUGAAGAGGCCACCCCAGACCCUAGUUCUUGUUUUCCAGAAGCAGCAAUUAAGAUAUUAUAGUACGGUCAACCCUGAAUAGUAUUUAAGUUGUAGUUGGCAGUGUUUUGAGAAAUAACCCACUCCACUUUUAGUGUCCUGUCAGGCUCUAAAAUGAAUUUAUUUUUUUUGAACAAAUUAAUGAUAGGGAGAAGCGCCCAGAGCUGGCUGGCCCUUGAAGCUGAUGUCCCUCCCUGGGAUCCAAUACAGGAAACCAUAUUCUGACAAAAACUGCAAGAGAUUUACUUCUACCCUGAUUGACAAGAGAGUGGAGUCAAGGAGCUAGUGGCAUGAUGUAGAAAAGGGGCCAUCAAAGAAAUUGUCACUAACCAUCACCUAACUCUCCCCUGAUAUACCAGCUGUCUCAACAAGCCAGGGUCUGACCUUAGAGGCAUGGAAGGCACAGAAGACACAUCAGUAGGGAAAGUAAACAAGAACUCUUCAUUUGUUUUAAACCAGAGCAGCCAAAGGAAACUUCUCACUCUAUCCAGCUACAACUAUGUCCAGUGCCACCUAGUGAACAGAUUAUAUGAUUUCUAAACACAUAGAAACUGACCUUUGACAGUUCUCUCCUGAGGGACUUUUUGUGAAAAAAGGAAGCCUGCAUUUCCAGUGGAACAUGGUGGGUUCUUUAGAAGGCAUCUAGCCUCACCCUGACGAAUAUGCAUGAACAGUAAUACAGGAAAGUUCUUAAGUGAAGGAAAGUAUCUCAUUGCAAGUAAAUGAGAAAUAAAGAAGACCUAUCUACCCGUGAACCCAUGGUCUUUUCCUGGGGGACCAUGGAUCCACCUGAUACCAGUCCUUACACAUGUCUGUUUCUCCGGAACUGCACAACCAAUGAUGUGGCUUUGAGCUCGAUUUGUUGGGGAAGAGAGGUAUCCAUGGUAAAUUACAGAAAGUUGUGGAACAGAGACAGCAGGGAUCUGAAAGGUGUCAGUAGCAUGCUGUGCUCUCAUAGCAAGCAAUAUGAAAGCUCUAAACAGAGCUGUUCACUUAUUGCCUUUUAGAAGUCUUUUGGUGUCUCACCAUACAAGAAAAGACACUUCGGUGCAAAAAAGAAAACCGGAUCAUGUCAUGGGGGAAAGAUAGGGUAGGAUAGUACCCCUCUCUUUGGCAUCAAGUAGGAGGAGACUCUUGAGAGUGCCAUGGACUGCAAGAAAAUCAAACCUAUCCAUUCUGAAGAAAAUCAGCCCUGAGUGCUCACUGGAAGGACAGAUCCUGAAGCUGAGGCUCCAAUACUUUGGCCACAUCAUGAGAAGACUCCCUGGAAAAGACCCUGAUGCUGGGAAAGAUGGAGGGCCCAAGGAGAAGGGGACGACAGAGGACAAGAUGGUUGGACAGUGUUCUCAAAGCUAUGAACAUGAGUUUGACCAAACUGCAGGAGGCAGUGGAAGACAGGCGUGCCUGGCGUGCUCUGGUCCAUGGAGUCACGAAGAGUCGGACACGACUAAACGACUAAACAAUAAAAAGUUUUCUACAUGCCAGGAAUAUAUACCAGGCACGAAUUUAUCACCUCAGUGAAAAGUAGGCCUUCGUCUCAGUGCUCGAUAACCUGGGUGAAAUUUGUUGCACAUUCUUAUCAUCGGAAUAUGUAUCUUCUGCAGCAUAAGUUAAUAAACUGAGAUGAGAGGACUGACACGGAAAUCCCCCGUUCAUCCUGCAAAUACAAAGGCACACCAUAAUAAACAAACACGUUGAGCACCAUACUCAAACACUUCAAGUGUCAUAAUGUGUCAUCAGGGUUUUGACUUAUUCUGGCCAGCCUUAUGGGCUAGAGAGGAAAUGGAAAGUUGCAGGAUGAAGAGCUGUGUCUUUCUGAGGGAAAAUGCUUCCAGUCUUAUUUCUGAGAUAAUACCCUUCUGCUCUGCUUCUGAUAGCAAGCUGUAUCAACAACAGAUGCCUGUAACUAUGCCCACUUGGGCCCCCACACAGUGCACAAUUAUUGCUGGUCUUCAGACACAGUCCAGCUCUCAGUGCUUUUAUUUUAAUAAUGAUAUCGGCAAUGAAAAGGCUUGCAGUUUAUGAAGAGUAUAGAAGAUUCGCCAUCUUUGUGCCAUCUCACCCUACCAGUAGUUAUAUCUCCACUGAUGCGGAAAAACAAAUGUGUCAGCAUUGGCAAGUCUGUGAUGGAGUGAGGCACCAGGGAAGUGUGGCAUUCAGUCAAGGCCGACCCUACCAUAUGGGAGAUGAGGUAAUUGGCCUGAUGAGAAUGAGGAUGUAGAGCAGCAUCCCAACACUGGCCAUUCCUCCUAAGCAUUCUGGCCAUUCUCCUCUCUCGGAGUUCAGAACUGUGUGUGCCACAGCCCGGUAAUGUACCCCAAACUAGCUCCUCAGCUGCAUUGGGAACAAUGACCCCUCUGUCAUCGUUGCGGUAAAGUUUCCUCUGCCAGUUCAGUCAGCUGCUGUACAUACAAAUGGGAGCAGAGGCACCACCUCGUUCUUUGCUUCAGGUGGCAAAAGGUCUUGGGUCAGUCCUGAUUUCGGCAGCAGAAAUGUGAACCUGGAAGGAAAAAGACUAGCCCAAUAUGGUGUCUAGAAUGCUAUGUUUGCAGCUAGAGCAUAUUGAACAUACAACAUGUGCAAACCUAAUUUAUGUUUAUCAUGCAUAAUGGUUGCAACAAUGCGGAUAUAGCCCAAAUAAUCAGAGGUAUAUGGUGUAUCCGAAAAGGGGGGCUGCAACAACUCCUCCCUUCCCUACUUUUUUUAAAAAUCUUUUUUAUUUGAUUUUACAAAUAUAGAGUUAACACAAUAUCAAAUACAUAUCCAUAUCUAGAGAUUGCUCUGAAACUCGAGACUCCCCUCCAUGGGUCCUGUUGUCAACAUUUUCAACUGCAUAUUAUUUCGUAAUCUAUAUUUUGAAUCAAUCCAUAUUGUCCACAGUGUUUGUUACAUUACAAGUGUUAUUAAAAUCCUGCUAAUGGUUUCAUUUGCUUAUAGCGGUCUCCUAAAUAAAUUAUGGGACGCAGGUGGCACUGUGGGUUAAACCACAGAGCCUAGGGCUUGCUGAUCAGAAGACUGGCGGUUCGAAUCCCCGCGACGGGGUGAGCUCCUGUUGCUCAGUCCCUGCUCCUGCCAACCUAGCAGUUUAAAAGCACGUCAAAGUGCAAGGAGAUAAAUAGGUACCGCUCCAGCGGGAAGGUAAACGGUGUUUCCGUGCGCUGCUCUGGUUCGCCAGAAGCGGCUAAGUCAUGCUGGCCACAUGACCCGGAACCUGUACGCUGGCUCCCUCAGCCAAUAAAGUGAGAUGAGCACCUCAACCCCAGAGUUGUCCGCGACUGGACCUAAUGGUCGGGGUCCCUUUACCUUUAAAUAAAUUAUAAAUUUUUCCCAUUCUUUCUUGAAGUUUUUGUCUUCUUGGUUCCUGAGCUUUCCAGUCAGUUUUGCCAUUUCAGCAUAGUCUAUCAGCUUGAUUUGCCAUUCCUCUCUGGUGGGGAUUUUGUCUUCUUUCAUCUCUGGGCUAGUAGCACCCUUGCGGCUCUUGUCGCCUCCCUUCCCUACUAAGCCACUCCACAAACACAAUGUUCCUCUAACCUUCUGUAUCCCAGCUCCGCCCAUGGAAGCCCCUCGUGUUAGCCAUGACAGCUAAACUUCAUCUCCAGAUCCACCUCCAGGUUCUUAUCUUGGGAACAAAGCAAAAAGGACCAAUCUGUUGACCUUACACUCUGCUUGUAAUCCCUUCAGAGGCGUUUGCCUGGCCACUGUGGGAAAUAGAGGGUGAUACUUAACUGUCACAUCCCAUCAGUGCAAGGAUUUUUGCUUUCUCAAUAUAACUUCCAGUUAUUUGUUACAACCCCACAAAUAACUGGAAAUCUACAGGCAGUGAGGUUUCAUACACCAGGAUCUCUGUUGGAGGCUCUCCAGUUCAAAGAGCUGCAAAAGUGUGGCUGAAAUGCGGUGAGGCAAAAUCUCACCAAUGACGCAGUGAAACUAACCCGCUGUACAAGCUAAAUCUUAAGUCUGAAUCUUAAGUCAACGUUACUUUGGGUCUAGCGAUACUUCAAGCUGACAGUCUGUUUCUGUGUACAAAGUUCAAGUAUGCCGUUUGUGUAAUGCUUUGUAUUUUACCUUUCUUUUUGGUCCUAGCAAAGAAGUAAUAACCCAGGCAAGCGAAAUAUCAGCCUGCAGUGCAGUGCCAGCUGUAAUGCACAUCAUGCCUCAAAUAUAUUUGCAGCACUGGCUCUGAGGUCACAUAGUUCAGUGGAGCAUCUGGAACGGGUCUGAACAAAUCCUUGCAUAUUUUGCCAUUGAAAUAAAAUACGUUGAAAGAAGCAGCUGGAGCUUCCACUCACCUCCAAUCAGAGCUUGUCCAAGGGCUCAUUGCAAACAACAGGCAUCUUAGCAUGAAUGAAAUAUGUACCAUUCUUAUUCAACACUCAGGCCAGUGAGACAGUGAAAAAGGUAUGCAUGAAUUAUACUAUGUUUUGGUAUAAACAGCUAAGUGUUAGUCAUGGAGGAUAUGAACAUAUAAAAUUAUUUCUUUCUUUGGCAAUCACUUGUAGCUGAGUAAGAUUGUCUUCCCUGAAUCCUGAUCAUUUUGCUUAAACUUUUGCUCUGUAAUCACCCUACUCCUAAUUAAAACAGCUAUACAGUGGUACCUCAGGUUACAGACGCUUCAGGUUACAGACUCCACUAACCCAGAAAUAGUACCUCAGGUUAAGAACAUUGCUUCAGGAUGAGAACAGAAAUCAUGCUGUGGCGGUGCGGUGGCAGCAGGAGGCCCCAUUAGCUAAAGUAGUACCUCAGGUUAAGAACAGUUUCAGGUUAAGAAUGGACCUCCAGAACAAAUUAAGUUCUUAACCCGAG
rnacentral:lncRNA from 1 species